rnacentral:rRNA from 1 species
UACGUAGGAUGCAAGCGUUGUCCGGAUUUACUGGGCGUAAAGCGCGCGCAGGCGGCAUGGUAAGUAAGGUGUGAAAUCCAUCUGCUCAACGGGUGGGGUGCACUUUAGACUGCCAAGCUUGAGGUCGGUAGAGGGGGGUGGAAUUGCUGGUGUAGCGGUGAAAUGCGUAGAGAUCAGCAGGAACACCCGUGGCGAAGGCGGCCCCCUGGGCCGUACCUGACGCUGAGGCGCGAAGGCUAGGGGAGCGAACGGG